AGGCCCGUGGUGAAAUGGCAUCAUCGCGAUCUCCAAAAUCGCUGUUCCAGGUUCGAGUCCUGGCGGGCCUGCCA
rnacentral:tRNA from 1 species